AGAAUCCCCCUUCUGGAGAUACCAUGAUCACAAAGGUGGUUUUCCCAGGGCGAGCCUUAUCUAUUGCACUCCAGACGUGCUGACCUCUGCGACAUCCCCAAAUGUGGGAAACUCAACUGUAUAAUUUGUGGUAUUGGGGGACUGAGUUCAUGCUUUCCCCUG
ensembl:snRNA U1 U1 spliceosomal RNA